rnacentral:rRNA from 1 species
ACCUACGGGGGGCAGCAGUGAGGAAUAUUGGUCAAUGGUCGGGAGACUGAACCAGCCAAGCCGCGUGAGGGAUGAAGGUACAGAGUAUCGUAAACCUCUUUUGUCAGGGAACAAAGGCGGGGACGUGUCCCCGGAUGAGUGUACCUGAAGAAAAAGCAUCGGCUAACUCCGUGCCAGCAGCCGCGGUAAUAUUGAGGAUGCGAGCGUUAUCCGGAUUUAUUGGGUUUAAAGGGUGCGCAGGCGGUCUGUUAAGUCAGCGGUCAAAGCCCGGGGCGCAACCCCGGCCCGCCGUUGUAACUGGCAGU